UCAGCAUCAGGGUCUGACAGGAUUUU
rnacentral:misc_RNA from 1 species